rnacentral:rRNA from 1 species
AGAGUUUGAUCCUGGCUCAGGACGAACGCUGGCGGCGUGCUUAACACAUGCAAGUCGAACGAGGUCCAUGGUGCAGCAAUGCACCGGAAGACCUAGUGGCGAACGGGUGAGGAACACGUGAGAAACCUGCCCCGGACUCCGGGAUAACAGUUGGAAACGACUGCUAUUACCGGAUGCCGUCGCGGAGUGGCAUCACUCUGCGACGAAAGAACCUCGGUCCGGGAGGGUCUCGCGGCCUAUCAGCUAGUUGGUGGGGUAACGGCCUACCAAGGCAUCGACGGGUAGCUGGUCUGAGAGGAUGAACAGCCACACUGGGACUGAGACACGGCCCAGACUCCUACGGGAGGCAGCAGUGGGGAAUCUUGCGCAAUGGGCGAAAGCCUGACGCAGCAACGCCGCGUGCGGGAAGAAGGCCUUCGGGUUGUAAACCGCUUUCAGCAGGAAAGAAAAUGACGGUACCUGCAGAAGAAGGUGCGGCCAACUACGUGCCAGCAGCCGCGGUGACACGUAGGCACCAAGCGUUGUCCGGAUUUAUUGGGCGUAAAGAGCUCGUAGGCGGUUCAGUAAGUCGGGUGUGAAAACUUUGGGCCUAACCCAAAGCCUGCACUCGAAACUGCUGUGACUAGAGUUCGGUAGGGGAGCGGGGAAUUCCUGGUGUAGCGGUGAAAUGCGCAGAUAUCAGGAGGAACACCGGUGGCGAAGGCGCCGCUCUGGGCCGACACUGACGCUGAGGAGCGAAAGCGUGGGUAGCAAACAGGAUUAGAUGCCCUGGUAGUCCACGCCGUAAACGUUGGGCACUAGGUGUGGGUCUCAGCUAACGAGAUCCGCGCCGUCGCUAACGCAUUAAGUGCCCCGCCUGGGGAGUACGGUCGCAAGACUAAAACUCAAAGGAAUUGACGG